rnacentral:rRNA from 1 species
UACGUAGGGUGCAAGCGUUAAUCGGAAUUACUGGGCGUAAAGCGUGCGCAGGCGGUUUUGUAAGUCUGUCGUGAAAUCCCCGGGCUCAACCUGGGAGUUGCGAUGGAGACUGCAAGGCUAGAAUCUGGCAGAGGGGGUAGAAUUCCACGUGUAGCAGUGAAAUGCGUAGAGAUGUGGAGGAACACCGAUGGCGAAGGCAGCCCCCUGGGUCAAGAUUGACGCUCAUGCACGAA